rnacentral:lncRNA from 1 species
AAGCUGGAAGUUAAAAGGGAGGAGUACUAGAAACUGAGGUAAGGGUUUUUAGCCACAGACUGUGAAUUGUGUAUUAAACCUCCCCACCACGUGUUCAGAAGGGAAUUGAAUGCAAGGAGCUAGAUGAUGUGCAAGGCCUCUUUCCACCCAGUUCUGGCAGUGCUGCUGGGAGGUACAGGGUGCCUUUCCCUGACGUUGUGUGUGAUUAAUCAUCUUGAAAUGACACAUGGGAGAAAACAUUUCAGAUCUGCAGCUUAUUUUCAGAAAGUUUCUUAUUAAAAUCCCCUGUUCCUUUCUCCAUCCCUUGCACCUUUUCCUCCUUCUCUUCCUCACCUGAGGACUACAGGUGACUUUUGCAUGCAACAUGUUUUCUCUCAUCAGCUCCUUGAAGGCUAAGCCCCUGAUCUUCUGCAAAAAUGCCACUUCUUAUUAAUGUUUUAUGAACUGAGCUUAUUAACCUGACUUUCAUUUUGUGUAAACUGUAAUUAAAAUGUAUGAAGAACUUGACUUGCAUUUGCCCUUCUGGGUUGAUUGUUUGGUCUGCCGAAACAGCAUCCAUCAAGAUCAUAACAAGAUGUGGGGUUUUUUGGUUGUUUUUUUCUUUUUUAAGGGAGACUUGAGUCAUUUCAUGGGGGUCAACUGGAGCCCAGGAAUGCCUUUUCCUUUUGGCAAGACUUCUGCAGCCAUGUGUGUUUACUGUGGACCUCUAGCUGGAAAUGCAGAGAUGCCUGAUCUGAUUAUCUCUGCUUCUGCUUCUUUACGCUGCGCUGCAUGUGGUCUGCUUUUUACAACCCAGGAUUCACACAAUGAAUGUAGUGUCUUUACAUCGCUACGUGAUGCAGAAGGAUCGCUCUUUGCCAGCUGCCAAAUCAAGUGUUGUUGUACAGUCUCUGCCUUCAGCAACAUCCUCAGUGUUCUGGCAGUGGGACCCUUGAAAGGACAGCAAAAAACAGACUUCGUGCUGCCCCUGCACUUCAGACUCUCUGCUCUGCACGAAGCUGCACUGUUCAGAAGAAGCAAGAUUCUUUCCUCACAGCUACGGCACUGCGACACAGCCUGCUUUUUCGCAUUUACCUGGGUGGCUGCUGCUGGUUCUGCUGCUGCUGCAGCCUCGCUGCCUGCACUUCACCCCAGCUUGGCUGAUGCGAGUCUCCCUCGUCUGCGCAUCGCUAAGGAAGAGAAGCGAUGGAGCCGCAAUUUUUCUGUUGGUUCUGGAAGCAAAGGGUUGUGA